UACGUAGGUGGCAAGCGUUGUCCGGAAUUAUUGGGCGUAAAGCGCGCGCAGGCGGUCUUUUAAGUCUGAUGUGAAAGCCCCUGGCUCAACCAGGGAGGGUCAUUGGAAACUGGGAGACUUGAGUGCAGAAGAGGAGAGUGGAAUUCCAUGUGUAGCGGUGAAAUGCGUAGAGAUAUGGAGGAACACCAGUGGCGAAGGCGACUCUCUGGUCUGCAACUGACGCUGAGGCGCGAAAGCGUGGGGAGCAAACAGG
rnacentral:rRNA from 1 species